GAUGAACGCUGGCGGCGUGCCUAAUACAUGCAAGUCGAGCGAACAGACGAGGAGCUUGCUCCUCUGACGUUAGCGGCGGACGGGUGAGUAACACGUGGAUAACCUACCUAUAAGACUGGGAUAACUUCGGGAAACCGGAGCUAAUACCGGAUAAUAUAUUGAACCGCAUGGUUCAAUAGUGAAAUACGGUUUUGCUGUCACUUAUAGCUGGAUCCGCGCCGCAUUAGCUAGUUGGUAAGGUAACGGCUUACCAAGGCAACGAUGCGUAGCCGACCUGAGAGGGUGAUCGGCCACACUGGAACUGGACCACGGUCCAGACUCCUACGGGAGGCAGCAGUAGCGAAUCUUCCGCAAUGGGCGAAAGCCUGACGGAGCAACGCAGCGUGAGUGAUGAAGGUCUUCGGAUCGUAAAACUCUGUUAUUAGGGAAGAACAAAUGUGUAAGUAACUAUGCACGUCUUGACGGUACCUAAUCAGAAAGCCACGGCUAACUACGUG
rnacentral:rRNA from 1 species